rnacentral:hammerhead_ribozyme from 1 species
GUCCAACUGAUGAGUCCCAAAUAGGACGAAACAUGCGUCCUGGGU